AAAUGGAAAAUGAACAGUGGCUCUGAGAGGAAGUGUGACUAUGCAGCAUAGUAACCGAGAACAUGGACUCUGGAGAGAAAUGACCUCGGUUUAAAUCCUGGGUCUAAUACUUAGUAAUUGUGUGACCUAUGCAAGUUGCUUAACUGCUAUGUGCCUCAGUUUCCUCAUGUGUAAGUCAAAGAAACUGAGGCCUAAAGAGAUAAUAUAAUUGACCAGGGGCACAUGGAGCCAUGAUUCAUGCCUAGGCCUGCUGAUCUGAGUCCGUCUACUUAAUCAUAAUCAUUAUGUACCAAA